rnacentral:miRNA from 1 species
UAUGUCUGCUGACCAUCACCUUUA